GUGAAAUAGAGAGUUUCUAAAUGAGUUUUAUGUCAAUAAAACAAAUGGAUUUUUAAAAUUUGUUGAGUAAUUGCGAUUUUAAUUAUUUCUCAUACAUAUUUGUAUUUUCCUGAGUUUUGGAAAAAAAAUUGUAAUUGCCGAUCUUAUUUUGGAUAACAUCACAGCAAGUCACGACAACGGAAACGAUCACAAGUAAACAAGAGUUUCAUUAAGAAUUGUAAAUUGGGCUUUAAAAAAACUCACAGAAACUUUAACAGAAAGCUCGGAUAGCGCUAUUGGGUUAACCGGUGAUUUAACCGCAGGGAUGGUAACCUCAAAAUCAUAUUUUCAUUCUCUUAAGUACAGAAAAUUAAAAAAAAAUAUUUCUAAAUCGGUAAGAACUUACAAUGUUCUGAAAUACCGGGUGCAUAUAACCUCAGUUAUUCAUGUAGAAUUUUUUUUGAAAAAUAAAAAUUGUUAAUUAAUAAUAAUUAAUUGAUAAUUAAAAUUGUUAUCUCCAUUUUAUUUCUUACUCCUGAUUUUGGAGAAUAAAGUUAUGAAAUUGAAAUAAA